GACGAACCGUGCAAACGUUAUUCGGAAUCACUGGGCUUAAAGCGCGCGUAGACGGGUGACCGCGUCGAUGGCUGAAAGCCCCCGGCUCAACCAGGGAACGGGCCUCGAUACGGGUCGCCUCGAGUGGAGGAGGGGGACCUGGAACUUCCGGUGGAGCGGUGAAAUGCGUUGAGAUCGGAAGGAACGCCUGUGGCGAAAGCGCUCUACUGGACGGUGUCUGACACUCAGGGACGAAAGCUAGGGGAGCGAAUGGG
rnacentral:rRNA from 1 species